CGGGGCGGGGCGGGGCAGAGGCGCGCGCCAAUGGGCAGUGGCUGGCUUCGCGCCCCGCGCCAGAUCCGGGAUCGCGUACUCUUGCUACCUGGUGAAGGCGCCGACAGCGCCCAGGCGAGCCUGGGGAAGAGUCGCCAGCGCCACAGACGCUUUCAGGGCAUGAGGACGGCAGUGGGCUUUGUCAAGAUGCAGCCGCCGUGCGAGAGCCCGGCCCUGGCCGGCGUGGCGGCCGUGGCUGCGGCGGACGGCGCCCUGCGCCGCAGCCCCAGCCCGUGUGAGCUGGGGCGCGAGCAGAUGGUGCCUCCGCGGCCAUGGAUGUGGGACCUGCAGGCGCUGCUCACCCUGCGGAGGAAGCGCCGCGCCGCUGGGGGCCGGGGGAGUGGCCGGGUGAAGAUGCCCAGUCAAGCAAGCAGAAGAGUGUUUUCUCCUCUGGCCACCAAGCAGGCACCUUCUGCUUCAGGCCAUAGGAGUGCUUGCAGCCACUUCUUGCUCAGGGAUUCCACCCACACAGUGUCAAGAACCUGGAGAUGCCAUGGUGGCCCAUGCUACACGGUCACCGGCACUGUACCCUGGCCAUCCACAUGGUGUACCAGGACUGGAAAGACUCGGUCUAGUGGGAGCUGCUGGAGCGGAGGCUCAGAAUGAGCCCACCCAGAUCCAGGCCUUGCUGGGGAAAAGUUCGGCCAUGGAGUGAUCGUGGGUUAAGUGACACCCUGCCCCCUGAUGCCCACAUGGGCCCUGGCACUGCCCUGAAUCUCAGCUGGGUUGUACUUGUUUGUUUUCUGUUGAACUAGUUGGUGGGGUUGGGCGUGGGGGCUGAGGUUUCUUCAGAGGGACAGCAAGGGUCCAUGGGCUGGGAACUGGUGGCACAAGGUGCCUGAUCACCACUCUGGGCCUCAGUCCCCUUUUGUGCUUGAGGCAGAGGCGCGUCUAGGACUGCACAUGGCACUUGUCUGUGUGUAUGUGUGUGUCCCCACAUGUGUGUCUGUGUGCCUGGAAGAGACCAUGAGAAGCAGUAAAGCACCCAGCCUGGGUUCCAUACCCACAUUGCCUGAAGCUGGGCCUGAGCAAGUCCCCUGACUCCCCAGGGGUGAGGCCCCACAGCAACACCUGUCUGCUGGUAAAUCCCUUGGAGACCUGAUGUCUGCUGGCCCCCGCUGGGGCCCUCAUGCUCUGUCCCUGUGGCCUGCAGUGGGCAGACUGAAAGCUGCCCAUGUCCUGGUGGGUUCCUGGAGCACCAGGCCUCUCCCUUUCAUUUCACUCCCUCCCUCGCUUGGUCUCGCCCCAAGUUCCCUUUGCCGAGGUGAGCCCUCAGCCAGAGGACCCAGUUCACCUCAGGUUCCCUCCAUGAUACAGUCUUAGUCUCAAGAAGGUGCAACUUUGAAUGACCUUGUUCUCAUUCUGUGUCCUGUCUUUGCACACAGGUCUUGUGGUCAUUGGGGGCACUUUGCUGUGCCUAGAAAACCCAGGUCCCAACCAGGUGCAGGAGCUGGAGAAUCAAGCCCUGCUACCCGACCUGCAACAGAAGUACAUGACUGCGCUGGCCAACCCCCGCUGGCUGCUGCAGCCCAUCCCUGGAAGAGGCAGGAAGGACAUCUUCCAGGUGGACAUCCCCCAGCACCUGAUCCUCUUUGGGCAGGAGGCC
rnacentral:lncRNA from 1 species